AGUGUUGCUGACAUUUUGUUUUAAAGCCCAUAACAAUUAUUUAUCUCUGCUUUUACCAAACUAUCACACAGCAAAUGCACGUCAGAAGAUCUCGGUGUAUAGAUCCUAAUCCACGUCUCUGAUUACAAUUUGAAAACGAAACCACUCCCUUCUGAAGCUCUGACAAAAAUGGCAGAAUGAUGCAUCUCUCGUCUUAACGAGUUCGCCAUUAAGAACCUACAGAAAUGUAAAGCGUGACACGUGACGUGGACAUACAUGGACUGUGAAGACCGCCGAAGAACACAGAGUCACCCACCUUUACAAACUGUGGCCAUGGUAACAGCAAAAUCAAAAGACGACAGCCGGAGUGAUGAAAUGCUUUUUUGUGUGUGUGCGUGUGUGUGUGUGUGUGUGUGUGCGUGCGUGUGUGUGUGCGCGUGCAUUUGUGUUCUGUGUUUUUAUGGUACCUGCACCAAAUUUAACAUCUCCAAAGCAGAGCAGGUCACAGCUGCAGCUGGCACAGUUGAAAAGAGAGGAAGACAUUCUGAAGACAUGGGAUUAUGGUCCUUCCUCUACCAAGAAAAAUGACGACAGCCUAGCAGAAACACAAAGAAACACGGGGAGAGGGGUGUCGGCCGUUCACCAUACCGUGGUUGCUCAUGCUGCAGUCACAUGAAGCCCCAGCAUGCGCUUCAAAAGAAA